GUCAUUUGAUGCAUUUUGCUUCUCCUCCAUGUGGCCUCUCCAGGUGGCUCACGUAGGUUUCCUUAAAAGUAUUGUAGUUUCAGGAUAAUCACACAUCUUCCUUAUGGUGGCUGGACCCUGGACCCUGGCAGUAUACAGUUGGAAGCUGUCAGGACUUUUUAAGGCUUAGGACAGGAGUUAGUCCAAAUGUACUUCUGUAGUUUUCUACUAUUUAAACAAGUCACAAGACCAGUUUAAAUUCAAAAGGAGGGGACUAAAAGAGGCACACCUUAGGAGUUGUUCAUUAGUGGCUAUCAGUGUAAGAGACAACCAGAGACAACCAGUCUUUCUCUUUCAAAGUGGGGAAUGUUCACUGUGGUUGUUCUGUCUCUGUUCUUUCACUGAACACUGGAUUUUGGAGGCAGACUAGCAAUAUCCCAGAUAACCCAUCAACCUGAAUCCCGGAGCUGAUGCACUCUAGGCACCUGCACAAGCUCUUUUGAUGUGGCUUUUUAGAGCCAUCAGAGCAAGAUCCUGCCCUGAGGAGUGUAAGAGAGCAACUGCAGAAGGAAAUACUCUGUUGCAGAAGGAUCUGGGAGAAGUGCUGUUCUGACUCUGUCUCCUCUGGGACUCAUGAGUCAUCACUCUCUCUGGCCUCCAACUUCCCACUGGACUGAACUACCUUCUUGGUUUCCUUGUUUUCACCAUCAACACUGGGUGCCCAACUUCCAUCAGAGUUCCAUUUCACGCUGAAUCCAACAAUAUAGAUGGAUCUUCUUUCA